rnacentral:rRNA from 1 species
AUGGGGCGCACCAGGCGAGAAAACUUUGCAAUGUGCGAAAGCACGACAAGGUUAAUCCGAGUGUUUUCUGCUAAAGAAAUCUUUUGUUAGUUCUAAAACCACUAACGAAUAAGGGGUGGGCAAGUUCUGGUGUCAGCCGCCGCGGUAAAACCAGCACCUCAAGUGGUCAGGAGGAUUAUUGGGCCUAAAGCAUCCGUAGCCGGCUAUGUUAGUUUUCGGUUAAAUCCAUGUGCUCAACACAUGGGCUGUCGAGAAUACUGCACAGCUAGGGAGUGGGAGAGGUAGACGGUACUCCAUAGGAAGGGGUAAAAUCCUUUGAUCUAUGGAAGACCACCUGUGGCGAAGGCGGUCUACCAGAACACGUUCGACGGUGAGGGAUGAAAGCUGGGGGAGCAAACCGGAUUAGAUACCCGGGUAGUCCCAGCUGUAAACUAUGCAAACUCAGUGAUGCAUUGGCUUGUGGCCAGUGCAGUGCCGCAGAGAAGUCGUUAAGUUUGCCGCCUGGGAAGUACGUACGCAAGUAUGAAACUUAAAGGAAUUGGCGGGGGAGCAC